UACCGGAAGCAGGGGUUUCUUUCGGCCUCCAGCAGCAUUUGACCGUUGUAGGCCGGCGGAAACUACUUGCUUCCGUCG
rfam:Anopheles minimus strain MINIMTS1 unplaced genomic scaffold supercont1.1, whole genome shotgun sequence.